GGUUGGAAGAAUGACUACGUUCAGACCAU
rnacentral:SRP_RNA from 1 species